rnacentral:rRNA from 1 species
UUGGAGGGCAAGUCUGGUGCCAGCAGCCGCGGUAAUUCCAGCUCCAAUAGCGUAUAUUAAAGUUGUUGUGGUUAAAAAGCUCGUAAUUGAACCUUGGGCCUGGCUGGCCGGUCCGCCUCACCGCGUGUACUGGUCCGGCCGGGCCUUUCCCUCUGUGGAACCCCAUGCCCUUCACUGGGUGUGGCGGGGAAACAGGACUUUUACUGUGAAAAAAUUAGAGUGCUCCAGGCAGGCCUAUGCUCGAAUACAUUAGCAUGGAAUAAUAGAAUAGGA